GAGUGAAAUGAUGCUCAACCAUCUUUCGGGACUUACCCAAAAAAUGGGGAUAACUUAUUUUUACUCCCUGAUCACUC
rnacentral:snoRNA from 1 species